rnacentral:tRNA from 1 species
UCGAUUGUGGCCUACUGGUUAGCGCUUCAGACUUAUAAGCGGAGGGUUGCCGGUUCGAACACCGACCAGUAGGC